CGUGGAGUAGAGCAGCCCGGUAGCUCGUCAGGCUCAUAACCUGAAGGCCGCAGGUUCAAAUCCUGCCCCCGCAACCA
rnacentral:tRNA from 1 species